rnacentral:rRNA from 1 species
UACGUAGGUGGCAAGCGUUGUCCGGAUUUAUUGGGUUUAAAGGGUGCGUAGGCGGCUUUGUAAGUCAGUGGUGAAAUAUGGCAGCUUAACUGUCAAGGUGCCAUUGAUACUGCGGAGCUUGAGUACAGAUGAGGUAGGCGGAAUUGACGGUGUAGCGGUGAAAUGCGUAGAUAUCGUAAGGAAGACCAGUGGCGAAGGCGGGUCUCUGGACAGUUCCUGACACUGAGACACGAAGGCCAGGGGAGCAAACGGG